CAGCAGCCACGGUAAUGCGAAGGGUGCAAGCGUUAAUCGGAAUUACUGGGCGUAAAGCGUGCGUAGGCGGUGAGUUAAGUCUGCUGUGAAAUCCCCGGGCUCAACCUGGGAAUGGCAGUGGAUACUGGCUCGCUAGAGUGUGUCAGAGGAUGGUGGAAUUCCCGGUGUAGCGGUGAAAUGCGUAGAGAUCGGGAGGAACAUCAGUGGCGAAGGCGGCCAUCUGGGCCAAUACUGACGCUCAUGCACGAAAGCGUGGGGAGCAAACAGGAUUAGAGACCCCUGUAGUCCCUGUCUCUUAUAC
rnacentral:rRNA from 1 species